CGUACACUCCUACGGGAGGCAGCAGUGGGGAAUAUUGCACAAUGGGCGCAAGCCUGAUGCAGCGACGCCGCGUGGGGGAUGAAGGCCUUCGGGUUGUAAACUCCUUUCGCUAGGGACGAAGCUUUUUUGUGACGGUACCUAGAUAAGAAGCACCGGCUAACUACGUGCCAGCAGCCGCGGUAAUACGUAGGGUGCGAGCGUUGUCCGGAAUUACUGGGCGUAAAGGGCUCGUAGGUGGUUUGUCGCGUCGUCUGUGAAAUUCUGGGGCUUAACUCCGGGCGUGCAGGCGAUACGGGCAUAACUUGAGUGCUGUAGGGGUAACUGGAAUUCCUGGUGUAGCGGUGAAAUGCGCAGAUAUCAGGAGGAACACCGAUGGCGAAGGCAGGUUACUGGGCAGUUACUGACGCUGAGGAGCGAAAGCAUGGGUAGCGAACAGGAUUAGAUACCCCGGUAGUCCCAUGA
rnacentral:rRNA from 1 species